AAUUGUUAAAGUAGCGGUUAAAAAUGGCUUGGAAAUCAUAGAACUGUAGAAUCAUUUAGGUUGGAAAAGACCUUUAAGAUCAUCGAGUCCAACAGUUAACCUAACACUGCCAUCCCACCA